rnacentral:lncRNA from 1 species
GUGUCAUUUUUUGUGCACUUACGGCUUUUUCAUACGUCUUGUUUUCAUUAAAUUAGGAUGAAUUUUGCUGUUUUAGGUAGUCUCAGUAAGUUUAUCUGAAAGAGUUUAGACGAAUUUUGAAGAAAACUCGAUUUCGAAAAUUUUGCACUUACGGCUCUCUUCGCUAUCACGGAAGAUCUGUGACGCGGCCUGCGCGGUGCCUUAUUUUCAUAGAGAAAAAAAAAGGAGGUGUUUGCAUCUUGAGGUUUGUUCACCCUGUGACGUACGUCGGUACAACCUGGCCAGCAAAAUCCGGGAUUCGAAGUAAGAAAAACGGACCAUAAUGUCCCAUUUUUUGCUUAAAUCAACUUAUGAUAUAAUUUCAAGCACUUUUUAUUGAAUGACUUUUUUCCAUAAAUUACAUUAUUUCCAAGAAAAUCGAUGAUAAACGUCGCUGUACCGACCUACGUCAUCAAAGAAAUUCCAAGAUGCCCGAAAUGCAAACACCUCCUUUUUUCUCUAUGCCUUAUUUUCCGCUUCCGUGUGUUUUGUAAACACCCUCUGACCCGUGCAUUCUAUUCCCUGUUCCAGGAUGAAGUGGGCUUUGCUGGGCUUAGCGCUUCUGGCUGUGGGCGCCUACGGCUACCCGAUCAACGAGAAGAAGGAGGUUGCGCCGCCGGUCAUACAGGACUACUCGAAGGUGAGCGACGCGAGUGCCCAGGUCGCCCCGGUGGCCGCUGACGCCCCCAAGAGCGAGGCGGCCAAACCGGCGGCCGACGAGGCCAAACCAACGCCCGCUGCCGCCCCGGCCACCGAAUCCAACGCCAUCAAGAGCGAGGAGAAACCGGAAGCCACCGCCGCCCCAGCUGCCCCACCCGCGGCUGAGGCUCCUAAGAAGGAUGAAAAGGUUGAGCUACCCGCCGCCGCGUCCCCGAGCGAGCCCGCCAAGGAUGUCGCAGUUCCUCCCCCCGCCCCCGUCGUCGACGAAGCCAAAAAGGCCGAGGACGCCAAACCCGUAGCCGAAGAGAAGAAGGAAGAACCGAAGAAGGAGGAAGAGAAGAAGGAGGAGAAGAAGGAGGAAAAGAAAGAGGAGCCAAAGAAGGAAGAACCCCUCAAGGAAGACAAGAAAGAGGAGAUCAAGCCUGCAGCCAGCGAAAUCUCCGAGCAGAAGGUUAUGGACCCAGAGACCCCGAAAGGCGAACCAGUCAAACCCGAAGUCACCCCCGCCCCCGAAGAGGCCAAGAAAGAGGAAGUCAAGAAAGAGGAAGCUAAAGAAGAGAAGAAACCCGAGAUGGACUCCAAGCCCGUAGAGGAGAAGAAGGAGGAGGAAGAAGGAGGAGAAGAAGGAGGAGAAGAAGGAGGAGAAGAAGGAAGAGAAGAAGGAGGAAAAGAAGGACGAGCCAAAGAAGGAGGAGAAGAAGGAGGAGCCAAAGAAGGAGAAGAAAGAAGAGAAAGAGGACAAGAAAGACAAGAAGAAGGAGGAGUUCAAAGAGAAGGAGAUGAAGAAGGAGGAGAUGAAGAAGACAAGAAGAAGGCCGCCGACGCCGAAGCCGCGCCCUCCCACUCGAGCUAA